UACGAAGGGUGCAAACGUUGCUCGGAAUCAUUGGGCGUAAAGCGCACGUAGGCGGCUCUGCAAGUCGGAUGUGAAAUCCCUCGGCUCAACCAAGGAAGUGCAUCCGAAACUGCUGAACUUGAGUACAGAAGAGGAUCGCGGAAUUCCCGGUGUAGAGGUGAAAUUCGUAGAUAUCGGGAGGAACACCAGUGGCGAAGGCGGCGAUCUGGGCUGAUACUGACGCUGAGGUGCGAAAGCGUGGGGAGCAAACAGG
rnacentral:rRNA from 1 species